rnacentral:rRNA from 1 species
GCCAUGCAUGUCUAAGUAUAAGCAACUAUACUGUGAAACUGCGAAUGGCUCAUUAAAUCAGUUAUCGUUUAUUUGAUAGUACCUUUACCUGGAUAACCGUGGUAAUUCUAGAGCUAAUACAUGCUAAAAACCUCGACUUCGGAAGGGGUGUAUUUAUUAGAUAAAAAACCAAUGCCCUUCGGGGCUCCUUGGUGAAUCAUAAUAACUUAACGAAUCGCAUGGCCUUGCGCCGGCGAUGGUUCAUUCAAAUUUCUGCCCUAUCAACUUUCGAUGGUAAGAUAGAGGCUUACCAUGGUCUUAACGGGUAACGGGGAAUUAGGGUUCUAUUCCGGAGAGGGAGCCUGAGAAACGGCUACCACAUCCAAGGAAGGCAGCAGGCGCGCAAAUUACCCAAUCCCGUCACGGGGAGGUAGUGACAAUAAAUACUGAUACGGGGCUCUUUUGGGUCUCGUAAUUGGAAUGAGUACAAUCUAAAUCCCUUAACGAGGAACAAUUGGAGGGCAAGUCUGGUGCCAGCAGCCGCGGUAAUUCCAGCUCCAAUAGCGUAUAUUAAAGUUGUUGCCGUUAAAAAGCUCGUAGUUGAACCUUGGGCCUGGCUGACCUGUCCUCCUAAUCGAG